rnacentral:tRNA from 1 species
GCCUGGGUGGCUCAGUCGGUUAAGCGUCCGACUUCUGCUCAGGUCAUGAUCUCACAAUUCGUGGGUUCAAGCCCUGCAUCAGGCU